GAUGAACGCUGGCGGCGUGCUUAACACAUGCAAGUCGAACGGUGAAGCAGGAGCUUGCUCUUGUGGAUCAGUGGCGAACGGGUGAGUAACACGUGAGCAACCUGCCCCUGACUCUGGGAUAAGCGCUGGAAACGGCGUCUAAUACUGGAUAUGUGAUGUGACCGCAUGGUCUGCAUCUGGAAAGAAUUUCGGUUGGGGAUGGGCUCGCGGCCUAUCAGCUUGUUGGUGAGGUAAUGGCUCACCAAGGCGUCGACGGGUAGCCGGCCUGAGAGGGUGACCGGCGACCCUGGGACUGGGAGACGGCCCAGACUCCUACGGGAGGCAGCAGUGGGGAAUACUGCACAAUGGGCGGAAGCCUGAUGCAGCAACGCCGCGUGAGGGAUGACGGCCUUCGGGUUGUAAACCUCUUUUAGCAGGGAAGAAGCGAAAGUGACGGUACCUGCAGAAAAAGCACCGGCUAACUACGUGCCAGCAGCCGCCGUAA
rnacentral:rRNA from 1 species